AGAUUAGCCAUUCGCUAUUACAUGGGAUAUUAACUUUUAUUUCAGAGGAAGAAGAUAAUGCGACGUUUGCGGGAUUUGUGUUGUUUUAUGAGACGCAAGAACUAGGGGUAAAAAAGCAUGGUUUGUCAGGAAUGGAAGGACACAUUUAAUACCUUUACUACUAGGGUGCGCUGGAUGAACCACGAACUAAAGGCAUCGAAUCCAUUUCCAUUGAUGUAUGUCAUUGAAAGAAGCAUAAAAUCCUGUAUAAACGAAUUUGAAAUUGAUAAUAUCCGUUGGUCAAACUGAAAUGAUUUUCGAAAAACACUGCUGCUUCCCAUUUCAUUCCUGGACCACUUGGAUACCCCGGCAACUCCAUUCUCUACGAUAUAUUCUAAAAUCACUCUCAGAAGCGAGCGACCAUCACCAUAUUCUCCAUUUCAAUCGGAACGCUAAAUAAUUCUUUUUAUUCACUGAUACUUGUGGUUGUGAUUACCUUUUUAAAUAUUUAUCACCAUUGCUUGGCGAUAUUACAAGUAUAUAUCUUUUAUCGCACCAUUUUAAAAUUUUGUUUUAUUAUCCAAUAUUUUUUUUUUAUUGUUUGUCUAUUUACUUUCAACCUAUGUUUGACAAUAAAUCAUAAUUCUUA